rnacentral:pre_miRNA from 1 species
AGUGCAAUUGCUGGUCAUAUGGUAGAAUUUUGUUUAAUUUUGUAAGAAACUGCCAAACUGCCUUCCAAAAUGACUGUACCAUAUUGCAUUUCCACUAGCAAU